CAGGGCAAAACAGCUGCUCACACUAAUGUCACCAAUACCUCGGUGACUCAGAGCACAGUCACUGACGUUCUGUAUGUCAUUAAUGCUAUGCAGAGGAUCGCUAUAUCACAUUAUAUGGAACAUGUCAAUACAGCACAUACCGGUAAGUGCCAAAAUAAUGGAAACACGAGUAAAUGAUGGAUACCAAGUAUAUUGAAAGUAAGUGCUUCCACACAGGUGUUGUUCCUGAGUUAAUGAAGCUAUUAACAUCCCAUUGUGCUUAGGGUCACGUAUAAAAAUGCUGGGCAGUCCAUUAUUUUGGCUUCCAUGGCUAUUACCCCAAAGGACGACAAUGCCCCAUCCACAGGGCAUGAUUGGCCACUGAAUGGUUUGAUGGAAGAAUGUUGGAGGGAUGCGACACCAGAGUUAAAGACACGUAGAAUCUAUGCCAAGGUACAUUGAAGCUGUUCUGGCUCAUGGUGGACUAACACCGUAUUAAAUCAAAUAAAAUGUUUUGUCACAUGCGCCGAAUACAACAGUGAAAUGCGUACUUACAAGCCCUUAACCAACAAUGCAGUUAAGAAAAUUGAGUGUUAAGAAAGUAUUUAUUAAAAUCAACUGAAGCAAAAAAAAAUAACAAUAAAAUAAACAGUAACAAGGCUAUAUUCAGGGGGUACCAAGUCAAUGCACAGGUUAGUCGAGGUAAUAUGUACAUGUAGGUAGACGUAAAGGGACUAUGCAUAGAUAAUAAACAGAGAGUAGCAGCAGUGUGAAAAUGGAGAUGGGUCAAUGUAAAUAGUCCAGGUAGCCAUUUGAUAAGCUGUUCAGGAGUCUUAGGACUUGGGGGUAGCAGCUGUUAAGAAGCCUUUUGGACGCUUGCCGUGCGAUAGCAGAGAGAACAGUCUAUUUCUCGGGUGGCUGGAGUCUUUGGCAAUUUUUAGGGCCUUCCUCUGACACCGCCUGGUAUAGAGGUCCUGGAUGGCAGGAAGCUUGGCCCCAGUGAUGUACUGGGGCCAAGUGAUGUACUACCCUCUGUAGUGCCUUGCGAUCGGAGGCCGAGCAGUUGCCAUAUCAGGUCAGGAUGCUCUCGAUGGUGCAGCUGUCAAACUUUUUGAGCCAAAUCUUUUCAGUCUCCUGAGGGGUAAUAGGCAUUGUCGUGCCCUCUUCACAACUGUCUCGGUGUGUUUGGAUCAUGAUAGUUUGUUGGUGAUGUGGACACCAAGGAACUUGAAGCUCUCAACCUGCUCCACAACAGCCCCAUCGAUGAGAAUGGGGACGUGCUCGGUCCACAUUAUCCUGUAGUCCACGAUCAUCUCAUUUGUCUAGAUCACAUUGAGGGAGAGGUUGUUGUCCUGGCACCACAUGGCCAGGUCUCUGACCUCCCUAUAGGCCGUCUCAUCGUUGUUGUUGAUCAGGCCUACCACUGUUGUGUCAUCCACAAACUUGAUGGUGGUGUUGGAGUCAUGCCUGGCCAUGCAGUCAUGAGGGGUCUGAGCACGUUGAUUUUGUGGAAUUUAUUUUUCUUAAUGCGUUUGAGACAAUCAGUUGUGUUUUGACAAGGUAGGGGUGGUAUACAGAAGAUAGCCCUAUUUGGUAAAAUAUCAAGUCCAUAUUAUGACAAGAACAGCUCAAAUAAGCAAAGAUAAAUGACAGUCCAUCAUUACUUUAAGACAUUGAGGUCAGUCAUUACAGAACAUUUCAAGAACAAGAAGUGCAGUCGCAAAAACCCUCAAGCACUAUGAUGAAACCAGCUCUCAUGAAGACCACCACAGGAAAGGAAGAGUUGCUGCAGAGGAGCGCUUUACAGAGUUCAAAUAACAGACAACUGUUCAGAGGAGACUGUGUGAAUCUGGCCUUCAUGGUCAAAUUGCUGCAGCAAAACCACUACUAAAUGACACCAAUAAGAAGAAGAGACUUGCUUGGGCCAAGAAACAUGAGCAAUGGACAUUAGACCUGUGGAAAUCUGUCCUUUGGUCUGAUGAGUUCAAAUUUGAGAUUUUUGGUUCCAACCGCCGUGUCUUUGAGACGCAGAGCAGGUGAACAGAUGAUCUCUGCAUGUGUGGUUCCCUCUGAAGCAUGGAACAAAAUGUUAUUCAAUGCAGAGGUGUUCUGUUGUUAUCAUAGCCACAGCUCAAGGUUCUUUAAGGAUUUGUUCUGUUCAGUCACUACGAUGGACAGCCACUUUCCACUGUGCUGAAAGUCAUGUGUUAUUCUGUCAUACAACUCAUAGACCAUCUUAUUCAGUCAGUACAUAGGUCUACUGCGCAUAAAUCACAUAGAUAGUCUUACUCAACUGUCAACUCUAAAUUGAAAAUAAUGAUCUGUGAUGGUCAACAGUUUGGCACAGCUGCCAUACCAACCACAACUCCAUCUCUAUUGUACUACUGCACAGAGAGGUUACACAACAUAUGGUACUACUGUAGACAUUAGUUGGAGGGGUACCCACAGAGGUUACACAACAUAUGGUACUACUGUAGACAUUAGUUGGAGGGGUACCCACAGAGAGGUUACACAACAUAUGGUACUACUGUAGACAUUAGUUGGAGGGGUACCCACAGAGAGGUUACACAACAUAUGGUACUACUGUAGACAUUAGUUGGAGGGGUACCCACAGAGGUUACACAACAUAUGGUACUACUGUAGACAUUAGUUGGAGGGGUACCCACAGAGGUUACACAACAUAUGGUACUACUGUAGACAUUAGUUGGAGGGGUACCCACAGAGGUUACACAACAUAUGGUACUACUGUAGACAUUAGUUGGAGGGGUACCCACAGAGAGGUUACACAACAUAUGGUACUACUGUAGACAUUAGUUGGAGGGGUACCCACAGAGAGGUUACACAACAUAUGGUACUACUGUAGACAUUAGUUGGAGGGGUACCCACAGAGGUUACACAACAUAUGGUACUACUGUAGACAUUAGUUGGAGGGGUACCCACAGAGAGGUUACACAACAUAUGGUACUACUGUAGACAUUAGUUGGAGGGGUACCCACAGAGGUUACACAACAUAUGGUACUACUGUAGACAUUAGUUGGAGGGGUACCCACAGAGAGGUUACACAACAUAUGGUACUACUGUAGACAUUAGUUGGAGGGGUACCCACAGAGGUUACACAACAUAUGGUACUACUGUAGACAUUAGUUGGAGGGGUACCCACAGAGGUUACACAACAUAUGGUACUACUGUAGACAUUAGUUGGAGGGGUACCCACAGAGAGGUUACACAACAUAUGGUACUACUGUAGACAUUAGUUGGAGGGGUACCCACAGAGAGGUUACACAACAUAUGGUACUACUGUAGACAUUAGUUGGAGGGGUACCCACAGAGGUUACACAACAUAUGGUACUACUGUAGACAUUAGUUGGAGGGGUACCCACAGAGGUUACACAACAUAUGGUACUACUGUAGACAUUAGUUGGAGGGGUACCCACAGAGAGGUUACACAACAUAUGGUACUACUGUAGACAUUAGUUGGAGGGGUACCCACAGAGAGGUUACACAACAUAUGGUACUACUGUAGACAUUAGUUGGAGGGGUACCCACAGAGGUUACACAACAUAUGGUACUACUGUAGACAUUAGUUGGAGGGGUACCCACAGAGGUUACACAACAUAUGGUACUACUGUAGACAUUAGUUGGAGGGGUACCCACAGAGAGGUUACACAACAUAUGGUACUACUGUAGACAUUAGUUGGAGGGGUACCCACAGAGGUUACACAACAUAUGGUACUACUGUAGACAUUAGUUGGAGGGGUACCCACAGAGAGGUUACACAACAUAUGGUACUACUGUAGACAUUAGUUGGAGGGGUACCCACAGAGGUUACACAACAUAUGGUACUACUGUAGACAUUAGUUGGAGGGGUACCCACAGAGAGGUUACACAACAUAUGGUACUACUGUAGACAUUAGUUGGAGGGGUACCCACAGAGAGGUUACACAACAUAUGGUACUACUGUAGACAUUAGUUGGAGGGGUACCCACAGAGGUUACACAACAUAUGGUACUACUGUAGACAUUAGUUGGAGGGGUACCCACAGAGAGGUUACACAACAUAUGGUACUACUGUAGACAUUAGUUGGAGGGGUACCCACAGAGGUUACACAACAUAUGGUACUACUGUAGACAUUAGUUGGAGGGGUACCCACAGAGGUUACACAACAUAUGGUACUACUGUAGACAUUAGUUGGAGGGGUACCCACA